rnacentral:rRNA from 1 species
GACGAACGCUGGCGGCGUGCUUAACACAUGCAAGUCGAACGGAAAGGCGCUGCUUUUGUGGGGUGCUCGAGUGGCGAAGGGGGGAGUAACACGUGAGUAAAAUGUCCUUGACAGUGGGGUAACUUCAGGAAAAUGGGGCUCAUACCGGAUAGGAUAUCCUGCUGCAUGGUGGGGGUUGGUAAGUUUCGGCGGUUGUGGAUGGAAUAGCUGCUUAUGAGCUUGUUGGUGGGGUAGUGGCUUACCACGGUUGUGACGGGUAGCCGGCCUGAGAGGGUGACCGGCCACCUGGGUACUGCGGUACGGCCCAGACUCCUACGUGAGGCAGCAGUGGGGAAUAUUGCACAAUGGGCGGAAGCCUGAUGCAGCAACGCCGCGUGCGGGAUGACGUCCUUCGGGUUGAAAACCGCUUUCGCCGGUGACGAAGCGUGAGUGACGGUAAUGGGUAAAGAAGCACCGGCUAACUACGUG